rnacentral:lncRNA from 1 species
UGAAAAGUGGGCCAAGUUAAAGCAAAGGACAGCCGGCUAGUGUGACGGAAAAGACCAAGGACAAAGUCACACCCAACCCAAAUAGGCCAUGAUUCUGCCAAACUGCACCUGUGGGCCCACUGUCCUGGUACAUGCAAUGCAUGUGGAU